GUAGGUGGCAAGCGUUGUCCGGGAUUAUUGGGCGUAAAGCGCGCGCAGGUGGUUCUUUAAGUCUGAUGUGAAAGCCCCCGGCUCAACCGGGGAGGGUCAUUGGAAACUGGGGAACUUGAGUGCAGGAGAGGAAAGUGGAAUUCCACGUGUAGCGGUGAAAUGCGUAGAUAUGUGGAGGAACACCAGUGGCGAAGGCGACUUUCUGGCCUGUAACUGACACUGAGGCGCGAAAGCGUGGGGAGCAAACAGGGAUUAGAUACCCUGGUAGUCCACGCCGUAAACGAUGAGUGCUAAGUGUUGGGGGGGUUUCCCGCCCCUCAGUGCUGCAGCUAACGCAUUAAGCACUCCGCCUGGGGAGUACGGUCGCAAGACUG
rnacentral:rRNA from 1 species